AUUGCUAUCUUGCAGUAUGAGUAGUAUGUGAUGCCGAAUGUCAUAUGGUCAUAACUGAGCCAAUGAUUCUUUCUCUCUCUUUCCUUCUCUUUCUUGUUGUGGGAUUGUGGGUGAUCAUCUCCCAAAAGAAGAGGUUAUGGAGGAGAUCUCAUCUGCAGAGGAGUAAGAGAAAAAGCCACAAAAGGUUUUCAAAGAAACAUCCAAGAGAAAAUUUCUUGUGUUUUAAAAUUGUCAGUGUGGAAAUCUUUGGUAGAAGUCCUUGUACAAAUUUUGGUUUGUAUUCUUAGAUUUAGAAACAAGAAUUCUGGACCUGCUCAGCUUCUUUCCUUGCAUGCUCU
ensembl:lncRNA